AAUGAACGUUGGCGGCGUGGAUUAGGCAUGCAAGUCGAGCGAGAUUCCCCGCAAGGGGAUGAAAGCGGCGAAAGGGAGAGGAACACGUGGGUUAUCUGCCUCUGGGUCUGGGAUAGCGGCGGGAAACUGCCGGUAAUACCAGAUAACAUCUUCGGAUCAAAGGUGUGAUUCCGCCUGGAGAUGAGCCCGCGUCCUAUUAGCUAGUUGGUGGGGUAAUGGCCUACCAAGGCAAAGAUGGGUACGGGGUGUGAGAGCAUGCCCCCGCUCACUGGGACUGAGACACUGCCCAGACACCUACGGGUGGCUGCAGUCGAGAAUCGUCGGCAAUGGGCGCAAGCCGGACCGAGCGACGCCGCGUGCGGGAUGAAGGCCUUCGGGUUGUAAACCGCUGUCAGAGAGGCGGAAAUGCAUAGGGGCUCUCCCCUAUGUUUGACCUAAUCUCAGAGGAAGGACGGGCUAAGUUCGUGCCAGCCGCCGCGGUAACAC
rnacentral:rRNA from 1 species